rnacentral:rRNA from 2 species
ACCGUGCAAAGGUAGCAUAAUCAUUAGUUUUUUAAUUGAAAGCUGGAAUGAAUGGUUGGACGAGAAAAUAACUGUCUCAGUAUAAUUUAAAUUAGAAUUUUAUUUUUAAGUAAGAAAGCUUAAAUUGAUUUAAAAGACGAGAAGACCCUAUAGAGUUUUAUAUUUAUUAUUAUAUGAAUAAUUAAGUAUUUUAAAAGUUUCUAUUAUAAUAAGUAUUUUGUUGGGGUGACAGAAAAAUUAAAUUAACUUUUUUUAUUUAUUAACAUUAAUUUAUGAGUGUUUGAUCCAUUAAUAAUGAUUAAAAGAUUAAAUUACCUUAGGGAUAACAGCGUAAUUUUUUUUGAGAGUUCUUAUCGAAAAAAAAGUUU